GACGAAGGUGGCGAGCGUUGUUCGGAAUCACUGGGCAUAAAGCGCACGUAGGCGGUGUCGUAAGUCGGGUGUGAAAUCCCUCGGCCUAACCGAGGAACUGCGCCCGAUACUGCGAUGCUUGAGGACCAGAGGGGUGCAUGGAAUUUCCGGUGGAGCGGUGAAAUGCGUUGAUAUCAGGAGGAACACCUGCGGUGUAGACGGCUUACUGGACCAUAACUGACGCUGAGGCACGAAAGCGUGGGUAGCAAACAGG
rnacentral:rRNA from 1 species